ensembl:lncRNA
GCUGGCAGAAAGAAAAUAUCCAUCAAUGAUUACUAAUGACACUACUCAAACAGGUUUGUUCUGGUUUCUGACCAGUCAGACCGCACAUCUACUUACUUUACUCUGAGAAUAGGUGAUGAGGCUGUAAAGUUCAAGGUUUUGGGAUAGGCAUCAGCUGAAGACACUUCCACAGGAGGUGAACUGCCGUCUCUUAUCUCUUCACACACUCGGUUAUUCUGGAAAAAAGACAACAUACUGGCCAACUGAUAAAAAUCAAAAGGUAAUGAAGCUUGCGUGUCUCAUAAUUUCCAAAACUAACCUGUGUGAUAUUGGCGUAUUCUGUUUCUACAGGAGGUCCUGAAAAAUGCAGGUGAGAACACAAACAUCUGGCUUAAACAACUUCCAGGGACUACAACCCAAGGAACUAAACUUGGGAACAAUAUAAAGAAUGAAAACUGAAUAUCUUUCAACUUAAUCUUAAAGAUGUAUUCACAGCCAAGUCACACUUGACUUAAUUCGUGCCUAUUGUAAUCUGCUACAUCUUGCAUCUUUUUUUCCAGCUGUGCAGAUGUUGUGCUUCUGAAAUGUCCAGCUUUACCAGGACAUCUGUCAGCUUUCAUAUAUUCUAACAUCUUAGUAAGUCAACCCAGUGGGUAUCAGUCUAGUACUCCUAGCUUCUAGUGUAGAAGCAUCUGAGAGUCACAGACAUGGAUAGUUCUACUGAAGUUAAAACCUCUGUCACUGCAUCAUUUUUCAUUUUUCUUUUAAUGAGUUUGAAUUUUCCUAAGUCGAUUGUUUAGCAAAGUAUGAAAACUGGUCAAUGUGACUCUGUGCUGAACACCUUUCAGUCAAACAAUCAGAUGUUGUCACAGCAGAUUUUUCCAGAUUAGAAAUCAACAGGUUUGACAUCACCACUGUAAUUAUUCCAGGAGCCUCUCUCUCAGACCUCUGCAGAGAGAAUAUAAGAGUCUAAUGUUUUUCAGUUGUGUUGAAAGUCUUUGAGUUUGCCUGAUGUGAAUCAGCAAUAAAGAUUCUUAGACUCAACUUUAUUCUUUGAUUGUUUUUCUGUUGCCAGCAAACAGUUUAACAACAAUUUUAUUUUUCUAUAAGCAUUUACACAUGAUCCUAAAAGUAGACACCAACAUUGUACUUUGUGACCUGAAUCAAGUUUGUACACUGACUUCACCCAAAUUUUCACUUGUUCCAUGGGCAGAUUUUUUUCACUUAAUACAAUGAAACAUUUUUUUUGCUUGAAAUAAGUGAAAAAAAUCUGCCCAUGGAACAAGUGAAAAUUCUCCAGAUGCAAGAUGCACUGUCUAAAAACAAGUUCAUAUAUCUCACUGAAAUGUUACUGUGUGGCUGAUUUGGUCUUAUUUUAACUGUGAUGAGAUAUUUUUGACUUGAAACUAGACAAAUAUACUUGGUAAGUUUUUGAAUUUUUGCAGUGCAGUAUAACAACUUAAUUAAGGUUAACUUUGGGGUUAAUCUGCAGGAAAUAAGUUUGCAUUGCUCUGAAGUGAUAAAAAACACUGUUCUCUGUGUGCUGCAGACUCACCAUUAGGUUUAAUGGCCUUCCUCUUCUUGUAGAAAAUCAGCAAAGUGGCUGAUAAGAGGGUGAUCAUGAUGACCAGAAUCAGAAUCACAUAAAGUGGCUUAUCUGCACCUCAAGGGAGCACAUUUCUUUUUACUGUCACACUCGUAAUAUUAGGCAAUAAAUUACAAACAAAACACAGAUAUUCUGAGUUACAUUUCAUUUGUAUGAAAUUACUUUAGGUCCUCCUAAUGUUCAUUUAUUUUCAGAUAAGGUUUCAGUUUCUACUGUUGCAUUUGAAUCCUCCAUCUGGUUAAAACAUUCAGUACCAACCAUGCCUCAAAUGAGGCUGUCCUGUGUGCAUGUCUGUCAAGUUUAAUGUUUUAUGUUAACCUUGCAUGCACCUCGCAAGAAAUGUAACGUAAUGUCAGGUCGAUGUAGCCCACAGCUAUUGUGAUUGGCCAGUUCUGUGCCGUCUUUUCCCCGCUGCAUUUUUGUCUACUUUUUUGACGGCAUAAUAGUCAUAGGAUCAAUAUAAGGAGUCACAAAUGUCAGCAAAGUCCUGAAAGAAGAUUGCUGAAAGUUCAAAAAUGGAUGUGAGAGAAUGUAUGAAUCUUUUGCUAUCCCCUGACACCACAUUUAAAACACAGAGACAUGACCACAGAGUAACAGGUAACCACACAGAAGUGGAAGUCUAUAACAUUUGUCAUUUAGAUCUCAUGUCAUGGUGCUUUAAGGAAGUCAAACGUGAUCUCACUCAGCUGUUCAUGUGGAGUUCCUGAGUUCUUCAUUUAACUCUUGCACUGUUUAUGCACUGCAUUUGUUUGAUAACUUUACUUUUGUCAAUUGUGCUUAAUAUUACAAAAUCAAAUAAAUGAAAAUGUAUCACUAGUAAUUAUAAGGUUAUGAUAAAGACCCAUUAAUAAAUUAAAGUUUACACUUUAUUUUUACACUUUAUUAGUCAGUAAUAUGUCAGAGCGAUGUUUCUACUGCUCAUGAAUGUGGUUGAGGUUUUUGAUAAAUACACAGACGAACCCAUAUCUAUGUGCAUAUAUUAUGUACCUGGACCUGCAGGUGUCUCAGGAUGGUUCAGGAUUUCAGUGGAGGAGGAUGAAGAUGUAGAGCUUUCUAAACUGAAGUUGAAACUUUGUGUUGUUGUUGCUGCUGUUGUUGUUGCUGUUGUUGAGGUUGAUAGGAGAAAGGUUGAUGAUGAAAAAGCUUUUGGAGUAGAGCCUGCUGUUAAAGUUUUUACAGCUGUGAACAAGGAAACAAUCAGUACAAAAACAAUCCAGCAGUUUGUAUGUCUGCAUGCGAGUAAUGUGGGUUAACAGGUGUUUUAUGGCAACGCUAAGCUUAUAUUCAAAAAACUACUGAAUGCAGAUCAGUUGAAAGAAAUGUUGCUGCCAGUGAGAUGUGAAUAUGUUCACAUCUUCAGAAACAUAAGAAAAAAAAAUGUUU